UGACCCAAAGAGAACACUCUAGCCCAGAAGCUAUCAACUCAACCUCUCGACGGCUCCUAGAGCAACUAAAGAAAGAGAAAAACACUAGGGUUCACAAAAACAUACACAUCAGAACAUUCAAAAGUGAGCAUACCUGGCACCACCAUGUUCGAUGUGUCUGCCUCCUGCUGAGCUUGGGUGAAGAUCCGAGCUGAAGCUGACGGACCUUCUCCACGGGAACC
rnacentral:lncRNA from 1 species